GGCCUCGUGGCCUAAUGGCUAGGGCGCUAGAUUUCGGUUCCUUUCCAUCUUGCUCUAACAAGGAGUUUAGAACAGAAAUGAUAUAUCUGAUUCUCUAGAGAUUGUCGGUUCGAGUCCGGCCGAGGUCG